AACGCGAAGAACCUUACCAGGUCUUGACAUCCUCUGACAAUCCUAGAGAUAGGACGUUCCCCUUCGGGGGACAGAGUGACAGGUGGUGCAUGGUUGUCGUCAGCUCGUGUCGUGAGAUGUUGGGUUAAGUCCCGCAACGAGCGCAACCCUUGAUCUUAGUUGCCAGCAUUUAGUUGGGCACUCUAAGGUGACUGCCGGUGACAAACCGGAGGAAGGUGGGGAUGACGUCAAAUCAUCAUGCCCCUUAUGACCUGGGCUACACACGUGCUACAAUGGAUGGUACAAAGGGCUGCAAAACCGCGAGGUCGAGCCAAUCCCAUAAAACCAUUCUCAGUUCGGAUUGUAGGCUGCAACUCGCCUACAUGAAGCUGGAAUCGCUAGUAAUCGUGGAUCAGCAUGCCACGGUGAAUACGUUCCCGGGCCUUGUA
rnacentral:rRNA from 1 species